rnacentral:rRNA from 1 species
AUUGAACGCUGGCGGCAGGCUUAACACAUGCAAGUCGAGCGAGUGGCGGACGGGUGAGUAAUGUCUGGGACACUGCCUGAUGGAUGGGGAUAACUACUGGAAACGGUAGCUAAUACCGCAUACCAUCAGAUGUUCCCUGAUGGGAUUAGCUAGUAGGUGGGGUAAUGGCUCACCUAGGCGACGAUCCCUAGCUGGUCUGAGAGGAUGACCAGCCAAACUGGAACUGAGACACGGUCCAGACUCCUACGGGAGGCAGCAGUGGGGAAGAUUGCGCAAUGGGCGCAAGCCUGAUGCAGCCAUGCCGCGUGUGUGAAGAAGGCCUUCGGGUUGUAAAGCACUUUCAGCGAGGAGGCGGUACUCGAAGAAGAAGCACCGGCUAACUCCGUGCCAGCCGCCGCGGUAAUAC